GAAGCAUGGAUUGUGUGUAUCAGCAUUGUGCUGGCCAGUGCACUCUUUUGCUGAAAGAGUUCCCUUCAAAAUCAGUGUGGAGAAGAUAUAGAUGCUUAGGCUCCAUUCUUCUCCUGGAAUUUCCAACAAUCAUCUUCCCCAAAUUA